ensembl:miRNA gga-mir-3532 gga-mir-3532
UGUGCUUCUCACGUUGCACUGCAGCUGCUCUUGGGCUUAAUUAAUCUGACCCUUGGAGGCUGCAGUGUCAUGGUGUAAAGCACA